CUCUGGUGCUGGAAGGCCCCUUGGAGAUCACCCCAUCCAACCCCAAGGGAAGGACCCAUCCCUGGUCACCCAGGUCACACACCCAAGGAUCUGUCCUCUGCUGGGAGUCCAGGAGUCUUUCCACUAUCUGUGCCAUUAAUUUUUCUGACCCUCAGUUUCCUUGUCCGAUGAGACUGAUAAAAGGGGAACGAAGGACCUCAAGGUGAUCGGGAACUGCGGAGGCCGCUCUCAGUUCUGUCUGGUCCCUACACCUCCCAAAGACAAAUGUGUUGUGCUUUGACCCGGCGCCACGGGGAGUGAGUUGGGAGGGCGACUAGCUUCCAGGGCAGUCAGGGUCAUUCAUCACUCUAAAGCUCUGCAGGAAGGCGGCAUCCCCCGCAGGCCCAGUCUUUCCAGGCUGAGGAAGGCUGCUCCCUGCCACCAUAGUUGCCUGAGAACAAGGUCUGGCCAUGCAGUCUCUCUAGGCUGGAAGAGACUGAAUUCAUUGAAUUUUCCCUCUUUCAGACUCAGAGUUGGAGGCUAUUCCAUCCCAGCCUCUUUCCAUGUGUGACUGCAGGUAAGUCAGUUCUAUUCUGGGUCUCAGUUUGUCUGUAAAAUGAGUCUCUGAAAGCUCCUUCCAGCUCCAGGGAGGUGAUCCAAUGAUCCCAGCACCACUAAAAUACUUCCAGUGAUGAGGGACUUACUACCUGCCUGGGCUAGCUCAUUCUGCCUUGAUCUGGGUUUCACUUCCAAUACUCUCAUGUCCCUAACUGUGUAAUCACAGCAAGUCCCAGUUCUUUCAGUCAGCUGGGCAACGGAUAUUUAUUAAGCACCUACUCUGUUCCUGGCACUGUGCUCAGUGCCUUUUGGGUACUUAAGUAAAACCUAGUGUUUGCCUGUGGGCUCCAAGGCUCUCACCUAGGUGAGAAAUUUUUAGUACAUUGCCUGUAAAAUCAACCAAUCAGGCUCAGAUGGCCGACUGCCUUAGAGGGACCUCCCUAGCAGGACAGACACCCUCCCUACUCCCUGCCUGACGCCAAGUACCCAGUGCCAGCCCUUUUCUUCCAGUCCUCAAGGCUCCGAUCCAAAGCCCACAUGGAGACUCACAUUUAAUAAACAGCUGCCUCUCGUCCAGGCUGGCCACCCACCACCAUGGCUAGCUAUACCCUGCUUGAAGCAAGGAUGCCAGCCAGAGAGCGGGCAGGCAGCAGGAAGGAAUGAAAAUGUACCUGAAAAUGCACAUUCAAGGCAGCUGUUAAUUUUCUAGGUCCUCCCCUUCUAGCAGAAGUUCUAUUGGAAAAAGUUGGGAACAAACCCCAAAGUAGGUGCCAUGGGUGCCAGCUGGCAGCUCCAUCAUUUCUGGGCUGGGCAGCGCUUUUCUAGGAAAUGGGGAGACGUAGGGCUGGUUUCUCAGACCCUGAGCCAUUGUAAAGCCCAUACCAUGGCCCUUCCUGGUCAGCCAGCCAAAGGUAGCACUUCCAGAGGGUUAUCCCUGAUGCCAUCCAGUCCCUGUGGCCAAGAAUCACUUCCUUUUAGGGCCCUGCUGCUUUCACAAUCAAUGACUUCAUUUUACAUUCUCUGUGAGGUGAGCUUCUGUAAAAUGAAGCGGCCACACUGGACCGUGGGCUCUUAAACCCCUGGGGGGCCUUGAAUGGAUUUCAGGGAAUUGGUGAAUGUGGAUGGGAAAGCAUCUUUGGCUUCUUCUGUAAUCCCAUGUCUUUUAUGCAUAUUCAGAGUCAAAAGUCCAAGACUCCCACCCAAGGUUAAGAGAUCUUGGAUUAUAGAUGAAUGAGCUAAAGGGUGUGUUGGGCCUGGAUAAGCCUGAGGAAGGGGGACAGGAACCUUGUUUUAUAUGUUCGAAGGGCUGUCCCCUCCGGGGAAGAACUAGGAGAGCUAAAAGGAGACUCUGGAGAGAGGGGCCUAACACAGUCCUGGUCACACAUGGGGCAUUUCAUAAAUGUUGCUUGAUUGGCUGGCUCGGGCUCCGGGUCUGUCCCGUUUUCUACCAGUCAGGGCUGUCCAAAUGUGCAAAGGUCUGGAGUUGGGAUGGGGGAGGGGGAGCAAUGUGCCUCAAGCCGAUCUCCAGCUCUGGCUGCUGACCAUGUGUCAGAGAUAUUAAGGGGUCCUUGGUCUUGGAGGGAGCGACCCCGAAGGUCUCUUUCAAGGCGAAUUCUGGUCACAAAGUGGUAAGGAACGUUCACGCUUCUUCCUCCUCCAUUGAGGGAGUGGGAAAAUAAGUGGAAGGUCUAAGUUUCUUUCCACUCAAGACUGUCUAGAUCGGUUGGACCGAGUUACACAGCAGCUUCCCCUCCCCCCAUCUUUCCCCCGAUAUCUGUGCCAGGGCCAACACGGCCACGAGGGAAGAUUGCAGCAGCCAUGGGGGCAUCGGGAGGGGGAAAGCAAGAGGAAAAGCCCGGAGAGAUGGGGGAGGGAAGGAAGGAAAGGGCUCCCUGGGAUGAUACCACCGCAGCAGGGGAAAACCUGAGGGGGGAGGGGGGAGGAGGGCUCAGGCCCGCCGGGGAGAGGCGCUGGGGGCUGGGCUGGCACGCGGGCUCUCUGAUCCCUCGGGCCCCAACGACUCCGGAGCCGGAACUGGGUUCUGCCCCCUCCCGUCCCCUCCCGGGCUUGGCGAAGGUUCCUGGCACCUGCUCGGCCGGGCCAGUCGCCGACCCGGUGCCCGAGCGGUGGGGGCAGAGGAAAAGCGCCAGCGCUCCUGCAGCCCUCCCGGACGCGGCCCGCGUCCCAGGUCUCUUGUUCAGAGGCAGGGGGGGAGCUGGGCUGGCCCGCGGGGACGCGGCUGCCCUUCCUUAGUGGGGCUGGGCGCGGGGGCAGCAAAGCCUGGAGGGAAGCGCCCUCGGAGAGCCCCAGCCCCUCACUGUGCGGACAAGGGAACUGAGGCUCAGAAAGGGGGAUUCGUCCCAGGAGGCAGACCCGGGCCCCACGGACAGACACAGCGGCCCCCGAGUCUCCGUCCCGGACCUUUCCCAGCCGUCGGUCCCUCAGCGGGGCGGGGGCGGGGGAGGGGGACGGUAGUUAAACCGCCCACCGGGAGCCCCGGGCGGAAUGGGCAGAAUCCGCGCUACACACUGCCUCGGGGCGGCCCCCUGCCCGGCCCGAGGCCAGCCCGCUUUGUAGAGC
rnacentral:lncRNA from 1 species